AAAAAAUCUAAAAUAACCCAGUAUUCACUGUGCGCUUCUCCUUCUCCUUCUCAGAAACAAAUUUCUCUCUGUGCUUCUCCUUCUCAAAAACAAAUUUCUUUCUGUCACGCUUCGGACUCGGUUUAUCUAAAGAACCCAGAAUUCGGCUUCUUCUUCUCUUACUAAUCAACCACAAGAACCCAGGGCAGCUAAACAAAACCCAAAGAAGAAACAGUAUCGGCCGGCGACGAUAUUUGAAAUAGUCCUUAUAUCAGUGAGUCUUGGAAUUUAGCACACGGGUCCAGAAGUUCCAUUGGACGAUGAAGUUAUAUAUGUAGACACUGUUCUGGAAAAAAAUUGGCAUUGAAGGUGAAGAUUAGUUUUUGGAUCUUGGUGGGAAAUCUGAUCCCUGUUGGCUAUAUACAAUGCUAGCUAUGGUUGGAUAACAAUUUGAUCAUGGAGAUGAAAUUUGUGGAGUAGUUGUCAAUGUCAGAGCUAGGCAGGAAAAAAUAUCUCUAUGGCUGAAGAAUGCUACAAAUAUAAAGCCUAGGCAACUAGCAUGUUUUGUUCACAUGUAAAUAUAAUAUUUCAACACUAGAGGAAUUACAUGUUUUGUUCACAUGUUUUGUAUAAUCACAUUAUUAAGCGAAUGUAAUCACAUUAUUAAAUUUAAUCCAUUUUGUAUAUAACACUA